CAGUAGCCGCGGUAAUACGUAGGUCCCAAGCGUUGUCCGGAUUUAUUGGGCGUAAAGGGCUCGCAGGCGGUUUCUUAAGUCUGAUGUGAAAGCCCCCGGCUCAACCGGGGAGGGUCAUUGGAAACUGGGAAACUUGAGUGCAGAAGAGGAGAGUGGAAUUCCACGUGUAGCGGUGAAAUGCGUAGAGAUGUGGAGGAACACCAGUGGCGAAGGCGACUCUCUGGUCUGUAACUGACGCUGAGGAGCGAAAGCGUGGGGAGCGAACAGGAUUAGAUACCCCCGUAGUCCCUGUCACUUAUAC
rnacentral:rRNA from 1 species